rnacentral:rRNA from 1 species
AUGGUGGGGCGCAACGAGGAGAAGGCGCGGCUGGCGCUGGCCGCCAUGAACAAGCUGGGGUUCGGCCGGAAGCAGGCCACUCCCGUGCUCAAGCGCCUCUUCAGGCUCUUCGACCGGCAGUGGGAGCCCAUCGAGGCCGACUCCUACCGCGCCCUCGCCGAAGCAAUCCUCGACGACCAACUCCAAUCCCAAUCCCAAUCCCAACCACAGCACCAGCCCAACGGCGGCAGCGGCGGCGGCGGCGGCGGCAAUGAGGCGCCGGGGCAGGAGGAGGAGCUGGAUGGCAUGCCAGAAAUCUCCACCCCUUCCACAACCCCCUCUUUCAGAGCCACACCACCGCAAAGCUCCAGCUCCAGGACCCAUUUCAGAGCCCCUGCCUCUGCCUCUGCUCCUCCACCCGGAUCCACAGCCAGAGGCAUAGUGGAAAGGGUUGUCUUGGCCCCAGCCCCAGGCGCACCCUCACCAACCGCACUGCUCACCAAGCACAAGCAGAUGAUGGAUGCAGAGUUUCAGCAGCCUGCCUUCUUCCCCAAACACCCCAACCCCCAACCCCCUCAACCUGUCGACAUGGACGCGUCCGGCUGUUGGGAUGUGCAGCCUGGCUUGAUUCUCCGCUCCCGCAACCGCAACCGCAACCGCAACGCUUCCUCCUCGUCCGAGUUCAAUGCGGUGCCUCCGCCUGACCGUGACCGAAAUCCUCACCACAUUUCAGGUAGUGAUAAAAACAGGGCAAUUCAGCAUCACAACAGAAAUGCAGAGAUGCCUGCUGUAUCUGUGGAGCCAACAAGCAGCAGCACACUGAUCAAUGGAACAGGGUCUCAAGUGCAGGAGAUUGAUGUCGCGUCAUCCCCUGGGGGCGAGGUUAAGCUGUCUCUGAAAUGCAGCGCAGACCCAUCAAAGCUCAACAUGCCUGAUCUGGAAGCAGUUUACAAGAUGGUUGAGGACAAAUACCACUGCUCGGACAAGCUUCUUCCUCCUGAUUUCUCCAUUCCUGGCCUCAUGGCCGAGAUAUGCCAGAGUGUCGUGCAGCUGGGCACUCAACAUACUGUGGAGCAUAUUACACAAUCACGUACCGUUGGUAAUGGCAGCACGUCUAAAUGCGUGGAGGGUGGUUCAGCGAGUUCAACUACUGCCCCGCAACCGCAUUCGGCACUUUCAAGGACUACCCAUGAUGUACAUGACAUAUCCAAGGGACAAGAAAAUGUCAAGAUACCGAUAGCAAAUGAGUCUGGCAGAGGAAAAUGCCCACCAUCGUUUUCCUACGUGCCAGGCAACGAGGUAUUUCAAAAUGGUAUUGUGAACAUCUCCCUUGCACAGAUUGGUGCUGAAGACUGUUGUGCUGAUUGCUUUGGCGACUGCUUGUCUGCGCCUGUACCAUGUGCUUGUGCAAGAGUCACCGGGGGUGCAUAUGCAUACACACCGGGCGGUUUGGUAAAGCCAGAUUUCAUUGACAAGUGUGUCUCCAUGAACCGGGUUCCCGAAGCACAUCACAAGGUCUUUUGCAAGACGUGCCCGCUCGAGAGGUCGAGAGAUAAAGCCUCACCAGAGCCUUGCAGGGGCCACCUUGUUCGGAAAUUCAUCAAGGAGUGCUGGAGCAAAUGCGGGUGCAGCAUGCGGUGCGGCAACCGUGUGGUCCAACGCGGCAUAAGAUUCAACCUUGAGGUGUUUUCCACGGGAAAUGGGAGGGGUUGGGGGCUGCGCACGCAGAACGCAUUGCCAAAAGGAGCUUUUGUGUGCGAAUAUGCGGGGGAAAUACUAACAUGCGCAGAAGUACAUGAGCGGGCAGUCGAGAACAUGAAGAAUGCUAGGUAUACACAUGCGGUAGUGUUGGAUGCUGGCUGGUCUUCGGGAGGGUCGCUGAAGGACGAAGAGGCAUUGUGCCUAGAUGGAACCUUUUAUGGGAAUGUUGGCAGAUUCAUCAACCACAGAUGCCGUGACUCAAAUCUGGCCAUGGUUCCUGUUCAAGUGGAGACUCCUGAUCGGCACUAUUACCAUGUUGCAUUCUUCACUAGCAGGAAGGUGGAGGCCCUAGAGGAACUGACAUGGGACUAUGGGAUUGAUUUUGACGAGGAGUUGGGGCCGGUGAAGGUGUUUGAGUGCCUGUGUGGAAGCAAGUACUGCCGAGGAAGUCGUCGGCAUCGUCAGCGCCUGAGGAAUGGGAAUGGGAAUGGGACUGGGAAGAAGAGAAGCAGGGGAGAUCCUGGGCAGGAUUGA